GGAUACCAAUCCCAAACAUCUCAUCCACCGUCCAUUCAAAUCACAAUCAGACGUCUAUCAUUCUCCCUUCACACAAGUUUCUAAUUUUCAAUUUUUUCACACAUGGGGAAAGAAACUGUACUCUUAGUUCUCUCUCUCUCAUUGUUCUUCGUCUUUCUCUCUCUCUCACAAUGAAUUCUUUCAUCUUCCAGUUCAUCGAUUCUGAUCACCACCAUCCCCUAAAUAUAUAUUCCCACCGGUGUCUUUUUAGAUUCCGACCAGACCUAGGGUGGUUUUGUUAGAUUUCAUCUCUCCACAGAGAACACCGACGAUUUUUAAACUUGAUUUAUAUGUUCCAGGAUACAGAGAUCAGUGGCGAUGGUUACAAAAGCAUGGUAGGAGAUCUGGGGUGCGGUAUCGAUGUCUAGGGUUGGUGAAUCGAAUUUUCCAACGAAGAUGGUUAGGGUUCAGGCGAGUUCCGGCCACACAGGUAAGUCCGCAGAAAUUGUCAUAUUUGCAUGCCUCGGUUUUGUUUAGAUUGGUGGCAUAUGGCCCCUUUCUGGCUAGAUAUGGUGUUAACACUGGUGUCUAUUCGGAUUUCGGCUAUACCUUGGGUUCCGGCAACACUCAAGGAGUUCCGGUGAGGUUCCGAUAUACCCGUUCUUUGUUGUGUUGUCAGCUGAAUCUGUUUACUUACAAAUAUGGUUACAUACAUCUUCACGUAAUUAAUCUGUUGAUGGACUAAUUUGAGUCAAUGGUCCAAUUUUUUUCCAUUCCUUUUCUUUGUUUGUGUUCUUUGCAGAAACCCCAAUUUUUGGAAUUCGUAGAUGCCCUAAUCAGUUAGCUUUACCAAGUUAUUUUACCGGUGGUUGAAACUAAACUAGAGGGGUUCAACUAAAGAGAGUUGAUUGGCUGUUAACGCCCUUGGUAGGUUGUCGUUUGGAUUUCUCUUUCUCCAGGAUUACUAGCUAUCACCAUUAGAUGAGACCGAUAGUUUGGUUGUUAUCACUAUUAUAACGUUUGUGUUGUUUGCUUAUUAUUAAUUGCAUAUUUUGUUAGCAGAUUUACUGAAAUGGACCUGCACGUAUCAAGGUGGUUUGACUUUUCAAUUUUGUCACUUAUGUCUGCCAUGUUAGUUUAAUCGCUGGUUCAAGGGCUGAGGUGUUGAAGCCAGACAAAAGUCGGCAAUACCCUAAAAGAUGGUUUAGGUGGUUAUGAAGCUGAAGAAGCAACUGGAUGAAUUAGUCAUGAACGUAAAAGGGUAAACUAGGCAUCUGAGUAACUGAGUUUUAAUUUGUCUACAUCAACAUUUUCAUUUUCAUUUUGUGUGUCUGGUUAGAGGUUUCUACAUCAACUGCAGGAUAACUUCUUUGCUAGCUUUGCGCUCGGUUGGUUGAUCACAAACGGAGCUGGUCUAGCCUCGUACCCGAUUGACACAGUGCGAAGAAGAAUGAUGAUGACAUCUGGGGAAGCUGUCAAGUACAAGAACACAUUUGACGUGUUCAACCAAAUCGUGAAAAAGGAGGGUGUCAAAUCAUUAUUCAAGGGUGGAGGUGCUAACAUCCUCCGAGCUAUGGCUGGUGCAGGUGUGCUUGCCGGUUGACAAUGGUCAAGAUCCAACUCUUGAUUCUCUUGUUAAGUUGACAAGCCUUUUGAUUAUUUAUGAUUUUACUGCCUUGUAGUUUACAUUUGUUUCAUGUAUUAAUCAAAUUGGCACUUUGUUUCAGGUAUUAAUCAAUGGUGAUGUUUGUGACAUUACGUAUGA